rnacentral:rRNA from 1 species
CCCUACGGGGCGCAGAGGCGCGAAAACUUUACAAUGCGGGCAACCGUGAUAAGGAAACCCCGAGUGCCACCACAGGGUGGCUGUCCACCAGUGUAAGAAACUGGUGAAGAAAGGGCCGGGCAAGACCGGUGCCAGCCGCCGCGGUAAUACCGGCGGCUCGAGUGGUGGCCGCUUUUACUGGGCUUAAAGGGUCCGUAGCUGGAUCUGUGUGUCCCUUGAGAAAUCCAUCGGCUUAACUGAUGGGCGUUCAGGGGAAACUGCAGUUCUAGGGACCGGGAGAGGUGAGAGGUACUGCCGGGGUAGGAGUGAAAUCCUGUAAUCC